GACGAACGCUGGCGGCGUGCCUAACACAUGCAAGUCGAACGAGAAUCAAUGGAUAGAGGCUUCGGCCAAUUGAAGUUGAGGACAGUGGCGAACGGGUGAGUAACGCGUGAGGAACCUGCCUUUCAGCGGUGGACAACAGUUGGAAACGACUGCUAAUACCGCAUAACGUUGCGGGAUCGCAUGGUCCUGCAACCAAAGCUUUAUGUGCUGAAAGAUGGCCUCGCGUCUGAUUAGAUAGUUGGUGGGGUAACGGCCUACCAAGUCGACGAUCAGUAGCCGGGUUGAGAGACUGACCGGCCACAUUGGGACUGAGAUACGGCCCAG
rnacentral:rRNA from 1 species